AGGGUGGUAGCUCCAACGGUUAGAGCAUCGGAUUCCAAAUCCGAGUGUUGUGAGUUCGAAUCUCACCCGCCCUG
rnacentral:tRNA from 1 species